UACGAAGGGGGCUAGCGUUGCUCGGAAUCACUGGGCGUAAAGGGUGCGUAGGCGGGUCUUUAAGUCAGGGGUGAAAUCCUGGAGCUCAACUCCAGAACUGCCUUUGAUACUGAAGAUCUUGAGUAUGGGAGAGGUGAGUGGAACUGCGAGUGUAGAGGUGAAAUUCGUAGAUAUUCGCAAGAACACCAGUGGCGAAGGCGGCUCACUGGCCCAUAACUGACGCUGAGGCACGAAAGCGUGGGGAGCAAACAGGG
rnacentral:rRNA from 1 species